GACGAACCGUGCGAACGUUGUUCGGAAUCACUGGGCUUAAAGGGCGCGUAGGCGGGUUGCCAAGUCCGGGGUGAAAGCCUCCAGCUCAACUGGAGAAGUGCCUUGGAUACUGGUGAUCUCGAGGGAGGUAGGGGCAUGCGGAACUUCCGGUGGAGCGGUGAAAUGCGUAGAUAUCGGAAGGAACGCCGGUGGCGAAAGCGGCGUGCUGGACCUCUUCUGACGCUGAGGCGCGAAAGCCAGGGGAGCAAACGGG
rnacentral:rRNA from 1 species